rnacentral:rRNA from 1 species
AUACAACUCUGAGCGGUGGAUCACUUGGCCUGUGGACGCUAUGAAGACCAUAGCUAAAUGUGAGAAUGGCAGUGAGUCGUUGCUAUAUGCGCUGUCCCCUUCUUAUCAUAAGCCGAAUGCACAUUGCGCCCCACCCAGUGGUUGGCGCUACACCGGUCCAAUGCUGGCAGAUCGGAACAAUCGCAAAGGUGUGGCCCUCGAUCAAGAACGAAAAGCGGUCGGGAUAAAAAGAAAAUUUAAAAAAAGGGGCCAGGAGCACUGUUGUGUGCGAUCCGAAUCUCGUACUAGUAGGCCGGCCAAUCCUAUGGUGGGGCACUCCUAGUCGAGUGUGGU